UGUGUUCGCCAACCCGGAAGCUCUCC
rnacentral:piRNA from 1 species